AUUUGGCCCUUUAACUAAUUGUAAAAAAAUAAUGAAAAAAAUAGUUUUUUGUAUUUUUCCAGUUUAUUAACCUGUGAUAUGUUAAAAUAAUUGUAGUGCAUUAUUGUAUUAUCAUUGCAUCCACCAGGGGGAAAAAGACAAGUAUCAGAUUGUGUAAAAGAGGGUUUUGAAUUAGGUUUU